rnacentral:tRNA from 16 species
CUCCUUGUAGCUCAGUUGGAUAGAGCGCAGGUCUCCGAAGCCUGAGGUCAUGGGUUCAAUUCCCGUCAAGGAGG